GAUGAACGCUGGCGGCGUGCCUAAUACAUGCAAGUCGAGCGACCGGACGAGAAGCUUUCUUUUCUGCUGUUAGCGGCGGACGGGCGAGUGACACGUGGAUAACCUACCUAUAAGACUGGGGUGACUUCGGGAAACCAGAGCUAAUACUGGAUAAUAUUUUGAACCGCAUGAUUCAAAAGUGCAAGACGCUCUUGCUGUCACUAUUAGAUGGAUCCGGACUGCAUUAGCUAGUUGGUAAGGUAACGGCUUACAAAGGCAACGAUGCAUAGCCGACCGGGGGGAGUGAUCGGCCAACCUGGACCGGAGACACGGUCAAGACCCCGAGGGGAGGAAGCAUGAGGGAAUCUGCCGAAAUGGGCGAAAGCCUGACGGAGCAUCGCCGGGUGAGUGAUGAAGGUCUUCGGAUCGUAAAACGCUGUUAUGAGGGAAGAACAUAUGUGUAUGUAACUGUGCACUUCUGGACGGAACCUAAGCAGAAAGCCACGGCUAAUUACGU
rnacentral:rRNA from 1 species